rnacentral:rRNA from 1 species
UACGUAGGAAGCAAGCGUUGUCCGGAAUCACUGGGCGUAAAGCGCGUGUAGGCGGUAUGGCAAGUCUGCUGUGAAAGCUCUCGGCUUAACCGGGAGAGGUCGGUGGAAACUGCCACACUGGAGGACGGUAGAGGGGGUGGAAUUCCCGGUGUAGUGGUGAAAUGCGUAGAGAUCGGGAGGAACACCUGUGGCGAAGGCAGCUCUCUGGGACGGUACUGACGCUGAGACGCGAAAGCGUGGGGAGCGAACAGG